GCCAGCAGCAUACCACCCUGCAUCCCACUGCUGGCUUGCUUCUGAAGCUAUGCAGGGUUGGUCCUUGUCCGUCCCUGGAUGGUUGACCAGAUGCUGCUGGAA
rnacentral:rRNA from 1 species